rnacentral:rRNA from 1 species
GAUGAACGCUGGCGGCGUGCCUAAUACAUGCAAGUCGAGCGAAUGGAUUGAGAGCUUGCUCUUAUGAAGUUAGCGGCGGACGGGUGAGUAACACGUGGGUAACCUGCCCAUAAGACUGGGAUAACUCCGGGAAACCGGGGCUAAUACCGGAUAACAUUUUGAACCGCAUGGUUCGAAAUUGAAAGGCGGCUUCGGCUGUCACUUAUGGAUGGACCCGCGUCGCAUUAGCUAGUUGGUGAGGUAACGGCUCACCAAGGCAACGAUGCGUAGCCGACCGGAGAGGGUGAUCGGCCACACUGGGGCUGAGACACGGCCCAGACUCCUACGGGAGGCAGCAGUAGGGAAUCUUCCGCAAUGGACGAAAGUCUGACGGAGCAACGCCGCGUGAGUGAUGAAGGCUUUCGGGUCGUAAAACUCUGUUGUUAGGGAAGAACAAGUGCUAGUUGAAUAAGCUGGCACCUUGACGGUACCUAACCAGAAAGCCACGGCUAACUACGUGCCAGCAGCCGCCGUAA